rnacentral:rRNA from 1 species
UUUUGCGCAAUGGGCGAAAGCCUGACGCAGCAACGCCGCGUGAGGGAUGAAGGCCUUCGGGUUGUAAACCUCUUUUCUCAGGGACGAUAAUGACGGUACCUGAGGAAUAAGCCACGGCUAACUACGUUCCAGCAGCCGCGGUAAUACGUAGGUGGCAAGCGUUGUCCGGAUUUACUGGGCGUAAAGAGCGCGCAGGCGGUCGGAUUAGUCGCGUGUGAAAGCCCCCGGCUCAACUGGGGAGGGUCACGCGAUACUGUUCGACUCGAAGGCAGGAGAGGGAAGUGGAAUUCCCGGUGUAGUGGUGAAAUGCGUAGAUAUCGGGAGGAACACCAGUGGCGAAGGCGACUUCCUGGCCUGUUCUUGACGCUGAGGCGCGAAAGCUAGGGUAGCAAACG